CAAAGACCUUCGCUUCAUGGGCGGAACUCUUCUACAUGCCCAGUAAAGGACCAUUUUAAUGCUAACUGGACUGUGUUCGAGAGUGUAAUUCUUUGCGAAGGAAUACUUAAAGACCUCCAGUCCAGAGAGCCUCCUGCUAUCCUAUCCAUGGUGUUUCCUCAUUGGAAUCAGGUGGCUUUGGGGGAUGGCUCCAGCAGGGGGAGCUGUGGGACCACUGUGGGUGAGUCAUGGUGGGCUUGCUCUCAGCUGAGAAAUCACCCCACCAUAUCCAGACUGGUCAGAAGGAGCUAUGGGCUCAUGGAUGCUUGAGAUCCCAGCAAGUGUUUCCUCUCCUGGCCCAGUGGGGUAACUGCAGUGUCCCACCCACUACAUACUUAAGACUCUACCUAGCAAAGUCCCCUGGUUCAAAGUCCCUUUAAUGGCUGAGAAAUAUUUGCAUGAAGCCACCUUCCAUCCUCCCAGGCUGGGGUGGAGAUAAGAGGGCCUGGUAGGAGCCCAGCCCCAACCCUGGGGCCGCCGGCAGCAGAGCAUCUCCACCAUGGCCUUGACUCCCGUCCUCAUCUUCCUCACUCUCUGCAAAGGGCUCAGUUCUCAGGCCGUGGUGACUCAGGAGCCAUCUCUGACUGCAAUACCAGGAGGAACGGUCACCCUGACCUGCAGCUCCAGCACAGGGGCGGUCACCUCUGGGCACUAUCCCUACUGGUUCCAGCAGAAAUCUGGGCAGAGUCCCAGGACACUCAUCUAUAAUACCAACAAUCUUGUAUCAGGUGUCCCUGCCCGGUUCUCAGGGUCCCUUCUUGGGGACAAAGCUGCCCUCACCAUCAAGGGGGCCCAGCCUGAGGACGAGGCUGACUAUUACUGUGCCUUGUGGUAUAGCAGUGCUCAGCACAGUGAGAGACUCAGAUGGGGAACCGAGACAAAAACCUCCUGAGGCGGUGCCUGUUCCCAGCUGUAGAGGUUACCACAUGUCCAUGUAUUCCCAGCUUCUGAGCUUGAUUUCUCCACGCUCACUCGCCUUCCUAUGACUAUUUGAUAGCUUGGUACUAGCAGUGGGUCCCCACAGGUGUGGGACACAAGCUAUUCUACUCCCAGCCCUUCCAGCCCCAGCACCUGUGGUGGUCUCCUUGCCCAACCCAGUGGGUCAGGUCCCUCCAAAAUACAAUUGCUGCAACUCCUUUCCCUAAUAUCUUGGCGUAGAUGCUCUUUCCUUUUUCAUCGUGUAUAUAUGGGUGCUGAGGAUCUUAAAAGUGCCUCAAUAUGAGGCAAAUGCCAUUGCUUAUAAGAGCUAUAAACUCAAGAACGUUUACUCCAAACCGUGUGAGGCACCGUCCUGGGUGGGCAAGAUUGCCAAAGAUUUACAGUUAAGAGACCUUAGAGGAUGGGGAUGUCACAGACAUCACUGGCACAUCCGUGUGGUUCAAUGAUGGAAAACCCUAAACCAGCAGUCUUGGGUUCAGAUCCUGCUUCUGACACCACCUGGGAGAACUUGAUGGAGAACGUUGACCAUGCCCCCCACCCCACUCUGUUUCUUCACCUAUAAAAUAAGGGGGUUGGCCUCCAUGUCCUCUGAAAUCCCCAUUGAGCUAUAAAUCGAUGAUGCCAUAAACCAGAAUGGUCAACCAUGAGAAUCACACUUGAUGUUUACAACACUUAGCCAUAGGGUCUCAUAAAAAGGAGGCACCAGAAAACUUCGUGGAGAAAACGAUGGGAGGCAGAGGAGGAUCAGGACGUAGGAAAAGGGCGAUUGCCUCAGGAGAGGCCGAGUGCUUUGGGUUGCAUCUGGCCCUCAGGUCCAGUGUCAAGACCCUGAGUUCAGUUUCCUCGAGUCCUUCUUUUCUAAACUCUUCCUAUGACAUUGUGCCUUGAAUAGGGGCCAGCCCAGGUCUGCUUCCAUACUCUGCAGGUGGGUGGGUCCUUUCUUCUCUCCGGAAUCUGCCUUCCCAGCCGUGAAUCACCGGGAGGAGUGUAGAGGGUGCAAGGAGGCUCUUCCCUUCUGCAGUCAGCCAGCCAGUUGAUGAGGAGAGUAUCUUACCCCAAGCCCUGCUCACAAUUUGUAUGUUUCCUCCUUCCCCUUCAUUUCCCAGUGAGAAUAUUUCUUCUAGGGACAGCUAUUCGGGACAGUGGAUAAAGGGGAAGACUCGAAUUCAAAGCCUUCCUCACUCAUGUACUUCAUGAUCUCAGAUGGGUCACCUGAUCACUUUAAGACUCAGUUUCCUCAUCUGUAAAAUGCUACUUCAUGGGGUUGUCCCAAGGAUCAGAGAUGAUUCGAUCCAUGUAAAUGACUUUGCAGACCUCAAGGUGUUACGUAAUCCGUAGUGUGAUUAGUGUUACUAUUGCUUGUCCAAGAUCCAGAGUGACUCACCGUCAGUGUUCUGCUUCAUCUGUUACUGGCAAGCCCAAAGGAUCUGUGGUAAGAAUUAGAGAAC